rnacentral:rRNA from 1 species
CGACGCAACGCGAAGAACUUACCUGGGCUUGACAUCUGCGGAAUUUCUAUGAAAGUGAAGUGCCCUUCGGGAGCGCAAGACAGGUGCUGCAUGGCUGUCGUCAGCUCGUGUCGUGAGAUGUUGGGUUAAGUCCCGCAACGAGCGCAACCCUUAUCUUUAGUUACCAUCAUUCAGUUGGGGACUCUAAAGAUACUGCCCCGGUCAACGGGGAGGAAGGUGGGGAUGACGUCAAGUCCUCAUGGCCCUUAUGUCCAGGGCUACACACGUGCUACAAUGGGCAGUACAAAGGGUAGCAAGCCUGCGAAGGUGAGCCAAUCUCAAAAAGCUGUUCGUAGUUCGGAUUGGAGUCUGCAACUCGACUCCAUGAAGCUGGAAUCGCUAGUAAUCGCGGAUCAGCAUGCUGCGGUGAAUACGUUCCCGGGUCUU